AACCCAUAAUGAGGGCACCUUCUCUAUAGAUCCUUAAAUCUCUCUCAUGCAUCAUAUAAUGUCCCCAAAUCAAUUUGAGCAAAAAAAAAUAGAUGUUGUUCCUCAACUU
rfam:Gossypium raimondii chromosome 1, whole genome shotgun sequence.